CCUACGGGAGGCAGCAGUGAGGAAUAUUGGUCAAUGGACGGAAGUCUGAACCAGCCAUGCCGCGUGCAGGAAGACGGCUCUAUGAGUUGUAAACUGCUUUUGUACAAGGGUAAACCUGAAUACGUGUAUUCAGCUGAAAGUACUGUACGAAUAAGGAUUGGCUAACUCCGUGCCAGCAGCCGCGGUAAUACGGAGGAUCCAAGCGUUAUUCGGAUUUAUUGGGGUUAAAGGGUGCGGAGGCGGAUUGAUAAGUUAGAGGUGAAAUGUCCGAGCUUAACUCGGGAACUGCCUCUAAUACUGUUGAUCUAGAGAGUAGGUGCGGUAGGCGGAAUGUAUGGUGUAGCGGUGAAAUGCUUAGAGAUCAUACAGAACACCGAUUGCGAAGGCAGCUUACCAGUCUAUAUCUGACGUUGAGGCACGAAAGCGUGGGGAGCGAACAGGAUUAGAUACCCCUGUAGUC
rnacentral:rRNA from 1 species